GAACGAGGCCGGAGCCAACAGCUCCACCACACACCUGCUGGUCGUGGACGAACCAUACAUUCGACUCUUCCCGAAGAUCUCUUCUGAACUCACUAACCGCGGCCUGUCCAUCGAGGUGAACGAAGGCGACGAUGUGGAUCUCAGGGUUUUGAUCGAAGCAUAUCCACCGCUGAUCUCACACCAGUGGGAGACUCCAACAUCCCACAAUGCCUCACUCCCAGAGAACAGGUUUUACAGCUAUAACGACAGGUACGAGGCGCUGCUGUUCCUCAAGAGACUGAACUUCCAGGAAACUGGCCGCUACACACUCCAUGUCAAGAGCAGCAUCAAAAAUGCCUCCAUUACUUUUGAUAUUAAAA